rnacentral:rRNA from 1 species
UACGAGGGGGGCAAGCGUUGUUCGGAAUUAUUGGGCGUAAAGCGCUCGUAGGCGGGACAGGAAGUUCGUGUUGAAAGACCUCGGCUCAACUGAGGGACCGGCUCGAAUACUCUUGUUCUUGAGGCAAUCAGAGGGUGAUGGAAUUCCCGGUGUAGCGGUGAAAAUGCGUAGAUAUCGGGAGGAACACCAGUGGCGAAGGCGAUCACCUGGGGUUGUUCUGACGCUGAGGAGCGAAAGCUAGGGGAGCAAACGGGG